rnacentral:rRNA from 1 species
UACGUAGGGUGCGAGCGUUGUCCGGAAUUAUUGGGCGUAAAGGGCUCGUAGGCGGUUUGUCGCGUCGGGAGUGAAAUCCACUGGCUUAACUGGUGGCUUGCUUUCGAUACGGGCAGACUGGAGGUAUGCAGGGGAGAACGGAAUUCCAGGUGUAGCGGUGAAAUGCGUAGAUAUCUGGAGGAACACCGGUGGCGAAGGCGGCAUCCUGGACCAAUAUUGACGCUGAGGAGCGAAAGCCAGGGGAGCAAACGGG